rnacentral:rRNA from 1 species
UACGUAGGGGGCAAGCGUUGUCCGGAUUUAUUGGGCGUAAAGAGCGUGUAGGCGGCCUGAAAGGUCAGCUGUGAAAACUCGAGGCUCAACCUCGAGACGUCGGUUGAAACCAUCUGGCUAGAGUCCGGAAGAGGAGUGUGGAAUUCCCGGUGAUAGCGGUGAAAUGCGCAGAUAGUCGGGAAGACACCCGUGGCGAAGGCGGCACU